UACGUAGGGUGCAAGCGUUAAUCGGAAUUAUUGGGCGUAAAGGGCUCGUAGGCGGUCUGUCGCGUCGGCUGUGAAAACUCGGGGCUCAACUCCGAGCUUGCAGUCGAUACGGGCAGGCUAGAGUUCGGCAGGGGAGACUGGAAUUCCUGGUGUAGCGGUGAAAUGCGCAGAUAUCAGGAGGAACACCGGUGGCGAAGGCGGGUCUCUGGGCCGAUACUGACGCUGAGGAGCGAAAGCGUGGGGAGCGAACAGG
rnacentral:rRNA from 1 species